AAUAAAAUAAGCUAAAUAAAGCUCAUGGGCUCAUAACCCAUAAAUGGAGAUUAUCCUUUUAUUA
rnacentral:tRNA from 1 species